UAAUACGGAGGGGGCUAGCGUUGUUCGGAAUUACUGGGCGUAAAGCGCGCGUAGGCGGAUUGGAAAGUUGGGGGUGAAAUCCCGGGGCUCAACCCCGGAACUGCCUCCAAAACUAUCAGUCUUGAGUUCGAGAGAGGUGAGUGGAAUUGCGAGUGUAGAGGUGAAAUUCGUAGAUAUUCGCAGGAACACCAGUGGCGAAGGCGGCUCACUGGCUCGAUACUGACGCUGAGGUGCGAAAGUGUGGGGAGCAAACAGGAUUAGAUACCCUGGUAGUCCACACCGUAAACGAUGAAUGCCAGUCGUCGGGUUGCAUGCAAUUCGGUGACACACCUAACGGAUUAAGCAUUCCGCCUGGGGAGUACGGUCGCAAGAUUA
rnacentral:rRNA from 1 species